UAUUUUUUUUAUGAAAAAUAGGUUGCAUACCCUCUGACGAUCGCUAUGCGCCCAACAAUCACAACGUGUCCAGCGAUCCCCCCUCAAUCCCCUCCCAAAUCCCAAUUACCUUUGAGGCUCCGUGUCGUUGCCGCUUGCUCACAACAGCUCGUCUUCUUCUCUUCGUUGUUGUCGAUGAGUGAUUUGAAGCAUCCCACCAAACACACCCAAUGCUCGAAGCGAUUAAUCAAGAACAUAGUGUACCACAAUUAUAGAUAAACUGGAAAGUCCAAUGAAAAUGAAGAAAAGUUACUCAGCUAUAAGCAGAGAUACAACUCACAUAUUUAUGUCCAAUAAGACCAGCAAGAGAACGCAGUGCCUGCACUCCUAAGGGCUAUCACACAGUAUUUAAGAUUGACCAUAAUUUCAGAUAAUAAAAAAAAAAGGCAAACAACAUUUUGAAGAUCC